rnacentral:rRNA from 1 species
AUUGUAAGGAAUCGUACCCCAAACCGACACAGGUGGUCGGGUAGAGAAUACCAAGGCGCUUGAGAGAACUCGGGUGAAGGAACUAGGCAAAAUGGUACCGUAACUUCGGGAGAAGGUACGCUCUUGACGGUGAAGUCCCUUGCGGAUGGAGCUAUUGAGAGUCGCAGAUACCAGGUGGCUGCAACUGUUUAUUAAAAACACAGCACUGUGCAAAAUCGUAAGAUGACGUAUACGGUGUGACGCCUGCCCGGU